rnacentral:snRNA from 1 species
GUGCUCACUUCAGCAGCACAUACACUAAAGUUGGAUUAGCAUGGCUCCUGAGUAAGGAUGACACACAAAUUCAUGAAGCAUUCCAUAUUUAA